UAAUACGUAGGGGGCAAGCGUUGUCCGGAUUCACUGGGUGUAAAGGGUGCUCAGGCGGACUUGUAAGUCAGAGGUGAAACUCCGAGGCUUAACCUCGGAACUGCCUUUGAUACUGCAAGUCUCGAGUACGGGAGAGGGUAAUGGAAUAACAGGUGUAGCAGUGAAAUGCGUAGAUAUCUGUUAGAACACCAAUGGCGAAGGCAGUUGCCUGGCCCGUUACUGACGCUAAAGCACGAAAGUGUGGGGAGCAAACAGG
rnacentral:rRNA from 1 species